rnacentral:rRNA from 1 species
GACGAACGCUGGCGGCGUGCCUAAUACAUGCAAGUAGAACGCUGAAGGAGGAGCUUGCUUCUCUGGAUGAGUUGCGAACGGGUGAGUAACGCGUAUGUAACCUGCCUGGUAGCGGGGGAUAACUCUUGGAAACGCUAGCUAAUACCGCAUAACAUUAGAUAUCGCAUGUUAUCUACUUGAAAGGUGCAAUUUCAUCACUACCAGAUGGACCUGCGUUGUAUUAGUUAGUUGGUGAGGUAACGGCCCACCAAGGCGACGAUACAUAGCCGGCCUGGGAGGGUGAACGGCCAAAAUGGGAAUGAGAAAACGCCCAGACUCCCAAGGGAAGCAGCAGUAGGGGAUCUUCCGCAAUGGACGGAAGUCUUGCCGAGCAAAGCCGCGUGAGUGAAGAAGGUUUUCGGAUCGUAAAGCUCUGUUGUAAGAGAAGAACGAGUGGGGGAGUGGAAAAUUCACGCUGUGACGGUAUCUUACCAGAAAGGGACGGCUAACUACGUG